rnacentral:rRNA from 1 species
GACGAACGCUGGCGGCGUGCCUAAUACAUGCAAGUCGAACGCAGUGGGGACGGGUGAGUAACCCGUGGGUAACCACCCAUCAGCGGGGAUAACACUUGGAAACAGGUGCUAAACCGAUACUGAUGGAUGGACCCGCGGUGCAUUAGCUAGUUGGUGAGGUAAAGGCUCACCAAGGCCACGAUGCAUAACCGGCCUGAGAGGGUGAUCAGCCACACUGGAACUGAGACACGGCCCAGACUCCUACGGGAGGCAGCAGUGGGGAAUCGUCGGCAAUGGGCGAAAGUCUGACCGAGCAAUGCCGCGUGAGUGAAGAAGGUUUUCGGAUCGUAAAGCACUGUUAGUAGGGAAGCGGUAUCUAAAGAGAAAGCCACGGCUAACUACGUGCCAGCAGCCGCGGUAAUAC